GAUGAACGCUAGCGGCAGGCCUAACACAUGCAAGUCGAGGGGUAACCUGAGUAAUAGCAAUAUUACUUAGGCUAGACCGGCGCACGGGUGCGUAACACGUAUGCAAUCUACCUUACACUGGAGGAUAACCCCGAGAAAUCGGGGCUAAUAUUCCAUAAUACAAUGAAGUGGCAUCACUUUAUUGUUAAAGCUCCGGCGGUGUAAGAUGAGCAUGCGUCCAAUUAGCUAGUUGGUGAGGUAACGGCUCACCAAGGCUACGAUUGGUAGGGGUUCUGAGAGGAUGAUCCCCCACACUGGUACUGAGACACGGACCAGACUCCUACGGGAGGCAGCAGUGAGGAAUAUUGCGCAAUGGACGCAAGUCUGAUCCAGCCAUUCCGCGUGCAGGAUGAAGGCCCUCGGGUUGUAAACUGCUUUUGUACAGAACGAAAAGGCUCUGGUUAAUACCUAGGGCUCAUGACGGUACUGUAAGAAUAAGCACCGGCUAACUACGUGCCAGCAGCCGCCGUAA
rnacentral:rRNA from 1 species